rnacentral:rRNA from 1 species
UUUGGCCAUACCAUGCUGAAUAUACCGGUUCUCGUUAAAUCACCGAAGUCAAGCAUCAUUGGGCGCGGUCAGUACUUGGGUGGGUGACCACCUGGGAACACCGCGUGCCGUU